AAUAGAUACCCCGGUAGUCCACGCCGUAAACGAUGAGUGCUAAGUGUUGGGGGGUUUCCGCCCCUCAGUGCUGCAGCUAACGCAUUAAGCACUCCGCCUGGGGAGUACGGCCGCAAGGCUGAAACUCAAAGGAAUUGACGGGGGCCCGCACAAGCGGUGGAGCAUGUGGUUUAAUUCGAAGCAACGCGAAGAACCUUACCAGGUCUUGACAUCCCGCUGCCCGGUAUAGAGAUAUAUCUUUCCCUUCGGGGACAGCGGUGACAGGUGGUGCAUGGUUGUCGUCAGCUCGUGUCGUGAGAUGUUGGGUUAAGUCCCGCAACGAGCGCAACCCUUGAUCUUAGUUGCCAGCAUUUAGUUGGGCACUCUAAGGUGACUGCCGGUGACAAACCGGAGGAAGGUGGGGAUGACGUCAAAUCAUCAUGCCCCUUAUGACCUGGGCUACACACGUGCUACAAUGGAUGGUACAAAGGGCUGCAAGACCGCGAGGUUUAGCCAAUCCCAUAAAACCAUUCUCAGUUCGGAUUGCAGGCUGA
rnacentral:rRNA from 1 species